UGGUCUCUGAAGUGGUUCAAUGAGCAUGUUAAAUCCUUAUAUUAAUCGUGUCUCAUUUAUGACCCAAAAACCCAAACCCAUUUGACAUUGCCAGGUCUACUCAUGGUCAAGGCAAGAAUCAGCAUCACUCAUUGGAAGUAUUUUACAUGCUCAUUGAACCACUUCAGAGACCACAAACAAACCAUUUUGCAGAACUAUGAUACGUCCAGAAAUAAAUUGCAUGUUCUCUCCAACAUUACAAGAGCACAAAGCCAUGAGAGUCAUGAUUCUCGCAAAAGAGAACAACAAAAUGUCAGAAAGUAUUGUUGUGAGAGUGCAAAAUGAUCUUACAGAGACACUCAAAGACCCAAUCCAACAGUGCGGCCAUCUCUUCGUCGAAGACCAGCAGUGUACUGCUUCUCUAAAUCCAUCUGGACUUCCUUCUGCUUCUCUGCCUGGAGACGACCAUUGCCAUCUUCGUUGUCGGUUUGCUCUACCUUCACAUCGCCCUUUACACCCAUGAGUUUGUUGAUACAAUUGGCCAUAGGUACCAAGGCAACCUCAGACUCAUGAGUUUGUUGAACUUUUCUUGUCUUUCACGAUCACCAAACAGUGCAGUGUCCCACCGGUGUCCAGACUCUUCUGAAGCUGUGCUCUUUUUGUUCCCCCAAAGCAGCUUCUUCUUCUGUUCAGUCGACAUAAAACCCACCCCAACGAGGUUCCUGUUAACUAAUUCAGCAGCUUUCAUUGCAGCAACCUUUGCUGCAUUUAGGUCAUUGGCACCCUCCGAGUUAUUCACAUGUGCCUCUCCUCCGAUGACUUUAGCAUCAACCCCAACUUGCUUUGAAGAUUGCUUUUCAUCACCAUCUUUAUUGUAAUCAGCAUCCCUUUCAGAGCUAAAUAACCUGGGCUUUUUAGCUAUAGACUCUUGUUUUUCACUCCCAAAAACAGGUUUAUCUUCAUUCUGCUCAUAUCUAUCCUUGUCCCUGUUAGCAUCCCAGUCAUCAUGUUUCUUCUUUUCCUUUUGACCGUUUAGAUCCUUUUGGUCAUCCUUAUAAGAAUCUCUAUAGCGAUGCACAUCAUGAUCCCUUCCAGAAUCAUUUCGACGAUCACUUUUGUAGUCUCCAGAACUCCUAUGAUAAUUCCUUUUCUCAUCCCAACCAUCUCUGUCCUGCCUGUGCCGGUCCCUAUCCUUAUCUUCAGAGGUUGUGAGUGUAUGUUUCCUACCAGAGCCAGCUCUGUCAGGAGAUGAAUCCUUAUCCCUAAAUUUCUGACGGUCUAGGGAAAAUGAGUCUCUCUCUUUAUCCUUACUUCUAUGCCCUGAACCAUCAUAUCUAUCACGGGAGUAUUUGUCUACAUUUCGCACAUAGUCUCUUGACCUACCACGUUCACUUUCUUCUCUUGUAUGAUCAGAGUGACCAGCACGCCUUGAUUCCAUACCGGAAUGGGAUGAUCCCUGGUAAUGUCUCUCUUCAUCAUCUGCACGCUUCUCAUGUCUGCUGUACUCAUCGUGCCUAGAAUAACCAUGGGAAUUCCUAGAGGAAUAUCGAUCAGAAUGUCGAUAUGAAUCUUUGCCAGACUGACUACGACCAGAAUCCCUAUAUUCUCUCUCAUCCUUCCUUCUAUGUUGAUGCUCAGAAGCUUUUGCAGGAUCUCCCCUUGAAGAGAAUGGACUAGUGCCACGUUCACUCUUAGGACUCCCUUCAGAUGAAGAUGAUCCAUCAGCAGGAGAUCGGCGACGGUACUUCCUAUUGGCUACAUGAUUUGAAGGUUUACGGAAUGCCGCUUUUGUCUCAACGUUGUCUGGGGUUGGAGAUUGCAUGUUGGAAUCCAUUAAGUCUAGCACCUGUAAGUGUUCUUUUUGGGGAUCCGAUGGCCGAGAGAGGAUUGGAUCAUACACUGCUAUUAGGGUUUGUAUUGAGUUAAUUUCCGGCUCUAUCCAAGUUUUCUGUGUUCGCUAGGUGAACCUUUUGGGCACUUUACGAGACCACCGAAAAUACGGAGCCUAGUGGUAA
rnacentral:misc_RNA from 1 species